AUUGAACGCUGGCGGCAGGCCUAACACAUGCAAGUCGAACGAGUGGCGGACGGGUGAGUAAUGUCUGGGAAACUGCCUGAUGGAGGGGGAUAACUACUGGAAACGGUAGCUAAUACCGCAUACCAUCAGAUGUGCCCAGAUGGGAUUCGCUAGUUGGUGGGAUAACGGCUCACCUAGGCGACGAUCCCUAGCUGGUCUGAGAGGAUGACCAGCAACACGGGAACGGAGACACGGUCCAGACUCCUAAGGGAGACAGCAGUGGGGAAUAUUGCACAAUGGGCGCAAGCCUGGAGCAGCCAUGCCGCGUGUAUGAGGAGGGCCUUCGGGUUGUAAAGUACUUUCAGCGGGGAGGCGUUACCCGCAGAAGAAGCACCGGCUAACUCCGUGCCAGCAGCCGCGGUAAUAC
rnacentral:rRNA from 1 species